UUAACAAGCCAGGUGAAUGGCCAGCACCGGGGGGUGGCAGCGAUACUCCACCUAAUAAGCCGGGUCCCUUUGUUUCCCCCGAACUGGUAAUUCAUCGAGACCAUCGAAUACACCAGGAUCAGUGGUAACCUUGAAACCGUUGGUUCCAUCGGGAUCAACCGUUCCGCCAGUGCCAGUCAAUAAGCCAGGGGAGGGGCCCGAUGGCAGCGCGCCAUGUGGCGACUGAGUGUGACCCCGGGAUCAACACCAUCAUCCACUAAAUCGAGCCGAGCAGAAGAAAAAUGAAAAAAAAAAACUGCACUGGCCUACCUGCUGAGGAAUCGUCGCAUGCUGUGACAUCACCCCACGUUGAUUGCUGGGCAGAGCUUUCUUUCUUUUUUUUUAUUCCCUCACACGCCCCACCGAGAAGGUGCGCAUCGACGAGACUUAAGAGCACAAUAUUACCGCAUCCCCACUAGUGUGAAUCAUAAAUAGUGGAGAAGCACCGGGUAUCGUACCUGUAUGUCACCGUGCGUCACCCGAGCGUCGCCACUACGAAUGUAAACUGAGUGACAGUAAAGUACAUAAAGUGUGUACAUGUAUAC